rnacentral:tRNA from 1 species
GAGCGACUAGCUCAGCUGGAUAGAGUACAAGCCUCCGGAGCUUGGGGUCGCGGGUUCGAAUCCCGCGUCGCUCA